GAGGGUAUAGCUCAGUGGUAGAGUGUGUGCCUAGCAUGCACGGGGUCCUGGGUUUAAUUCCCAGUGCCUCCA
rnacentral:tRNA from 1 species